rnacentral:lncRNA from 1 species
GUUUUACUAUUCACCCCAAAGUCCUUUUUGGAAUAAAAAUCAGGACUUUUACAAAUAAUCUUUCAAAGCUAUUAGGCUUGUGUGUGUGCGCGUAUGUGCAUGCAUGUUUAUACAUGCGCCACAUGCACAGGCACACACACAAGCUGGGGAUUAGAUUCAGGGUCUCAAGGAAUCUAAGCAGGUGCUCCACCAUUGAGAUAUAGCCCCAGUCAUAUUAGACCAUUUUAUAGAUGCAAAAUUAGUCUGGGGAAUUGGGCAGGGCAGAGGGGCAGAGUGACUCACUAAAGUCAUUUAUGAAAUCAGAGAUCAAAUUGAGUCUGGAAUUCAGGUCUAUGGGCUCACAGUUGAGCCUCUUUCCAAUAACUUGACACCAUCUUACAGGAUUCAGCAUCGUUGUUCACUGCACAAUUCUGCACAUACAGUAUAAUAUUAAUGACACCCUUACAGUUGCCCAAAUUGGUAGUUCCAUUGGAACCCUGGAAAACUCUUCCCCAGGUGCCUAGACUGAGCUAGGAAAUGCCAAGUGUUCCAUAUCCAUUUUCUUACAAAAUAUUCAGUAUCCUGUGAAGACAGCUAACUACAGAAAAUGGCUAAGGUGAGAUGAAAGACCAAAGCUACAAACCGAAUGAAAAACAUUUUUAAAAUAAGCUGAUGUGGGUCAAUUGACAAACAACAAGUAAUUUAGGGGGGAA